AUUUAGUGAUAUGGAUAACUUGCACAGAGUUUUUUAAAACGUUCCCAAUAUUCGUAUAAAGACUCUCCAGUAUGCUGUCUAAUGCCAUAGAUUUCGUUCCUUAUACU